AUCAAUAUGUAGAAAUGUAGUGAUAAAUCCUACAAAGGCUGAGCUGGAUGCAGAUGCAACUAAACCAAUUCCUAGUUGUGUGAAAAGUCGUUCAUCAUAUGGUGGCAGCAGGUCAAGACAAAAUUUAACUGAGGCUGAAAAGGAAGCACGGAGAUUACGUCGGAUAUUGGCAAACAGAGAGUCGGCUAGACAAACGAUUAGACGUAGGCAGGCUCUUUGUGAGGAGUUAUCGAAAAAAGCUGCUGAUCUAGCAUGGGAGAAUGAAAACUUAAAGAGGGAAAAAGAACUGGCCUUGAAAGAGUAUCAGUCUUUGGACUCCAAGAAUAAGCACUUAAAGGCACAGAUGGCCAAAUUAAUAAAAACUGAGGUGGAGGAAUCUUCAGGAGAUCUUAAGUCAGUCCAUGUUGAGAAGCCUACUAUCCCAGCUCCAAACUGCCCAUUGCUGUUCUAUAACCAACAUCCAUUUCCACCGCUUUGCUGGCCUUCCAUGAUUCAGUCUUCAAGUCCUGUCCAAUCACAUAAUGGGCGUCAAAAUGCCAUUGUCAUUCCAUCAACCAUUUCCAUGGUACCUAAUGGAGAGCUUGAUUCGGCUCAGCGGCAACAGGAAAACCCCAUGAUUGUCAAUGGGCCAAGGACUCCCUUAUAUAUUGUGUCAUGCCCGUGGUUUUUCCCAGUUCCUGAUCAUGGGAAUGGAAGCCACCCUCAACCCUCCCUUGGCUUGAAACACAUACAAGAUGGGACUUUUGUAAAUGAUCAAUGUAGUAGUAGUUCAUCUUCGAAAGCUGCUGCACUUACAGUGAACCAACUUUCCCCUUUGCCNNNNNNUAAACUAGAAGCUACUGGCUCAACAGAAGUCAGGGUUAUUAAUGAUCUUAAUGAGACACCAGUGGGAUUUCCCCCAGAUGGAGGCGGUCGAUGUGUGGGAUCCCGAAACAACUACUUCUCCAGUAAUGGUUGGUUCUGUUGCUGUUAAAAAUGAGAAUGGGCUUCAAUCAGAAUUUUUUCCUCAUGUUGAUGGCAUUUGUACAAAAUCUAGGCAACUAAUAAGUGCUUUUCCAGGAAAGAAUCAAGAUCCAUUUAAAUUCCCAAGUAAGAAACUAGUGGAUGCAGCUGCUGCAGCAGAGGCAAGGAGGAGGAGGAAGGAACUUACAAAAUUUAAAAAUCUCCACAACCGUCAAUGUCGGAUGAACUGUUGAAGGUAGAUUUGGAUGGUUUCUUUAUCAAAUGCAUUCUGGGUGCCUGAGCUGUUAAACCUUAAUCAGGAUACUGAUGUAAAAGCAGAGAAGGUUUCUGCAGGGAAUAGAGAUCAACCACUUGGUUAUACAUCUAUGCAACUGCUAUUUAGAUUUAAUGGAAGGCUUUUCUUUUUCAUCCAUGUAUUGUGGGCAAAUUCUGUUAGCCCUUUUAUGGCGCACAAGUAGUCUGACACCAUGGAAGCUUUGAGAAUCAGAAGAGAAGAGUACAUCAGGAAUGUAUUAUUUAGUGGCUUAAGUUGGAAAGUAAGGUAAGUAGUAUUUAUGUAAACUGAGUAUUGCUGCAUUUUGGCGGGUUGAAUCGGAAAGGGCAGCGAAAGCAGAAUUAGGAAAUGAAUUUGAAUGUAGCUGGGUUGUCUGUAACAUUAUGUUGUAAGACGUACUCUUUUAAGAAAAAUGCACGAGUAACUUCAGGCAUUUUUCUUAAAAG
rnacentral:misc_RNA from 1 species